UACAGAGGGUGCGAGCGUUAAUCGGAAUUACUGGGCGUAAAGCGCACGUAGUCGGCUUUGCAAGUCGGUUGUGAAAUCCCCGGGCUCAACCUGGGAACUGCAUCCGAGACUGCAUUGCUAGAGUAUGGGAGAGGGAAGCGGAAUUUCUGGUGUAGCAGUGAAAUGCGUAGAUAUCUGGAGGAACACCGGUGGCGAAGGCGGCAUCCUGGACCAAUAUUGACGCUGAGGAGCGAAAGCCAGGGGAGCAAACGGG
rnacentral:rRNA from 1 species